rnacentral:lncRNA from 1 species
AACUAUCAAUCUUUGUCCACAGAGCUCAGAAUUCUACAAAGUCACCACUGAACAAUAUCAGAAAGCUGCCGAAGAGGUGGAAUCAAAGUUCAAGAGGUAUGAGUUUCAUCCUGUCUGCGCUGAUCUGCAGGCCAAAAUUCUCCAGUGUUACCGCCAGAACACCCAGCAGACCCUCAGCUGCUCUGCUCUGGCCAACCAGUACAUGCGCUGUGUCAAUCAGGCCAAACAGAGCAUGCUUGAGAAGGGAGGAUAAAGUCAACUUUUAGAACAAGCAGAACUCCUCAACGUUAAUUCCAGAGGCGGAACAUUUUUUUUUCCUAGUAAGAAAGUAACCCAUUUAAGGAGAAGACGAUUAAAGAGAAGUACCAAAGAGCAGAUCCAGCCGAAGCAUAUCCCAGUUUGAUCAACUGCAGUUUGAAAAGCCAAGGCCUAGAUCAGGUAUCAGCCAGCAAGGACACACUGCAGUGUUAGUCAACCCUGUUCAUGAUGAUUAAAAGAGAAAGGCAGCCCUCUACACCUUUCUAACUUUCUAUUCAACUCUUUCUUCUCACAAGCUCCAGGGCUGGGUGAAUCUUCAUUCCAGCAGAGCUGGGGCAGGGGGUUGGGAUGGGGGCUAAGGUAAUUGGAGCGGGGUGGGGAAAGGGCACCAUACCUCCCCCAGCAGUGCUGGGUGCAAUCGUCUAGGCUCUGGCAUGUUGGUUUUUCUCUUUUUCUUUUCUCCCUUGACUAUAUAAGACCUACUUCAUUUUAACUUACUAUGGUGAUCAUAUAAGUAAGACAAAAAGGAGAGAAAAAUGUACCUCUUUUACUGGAAUAAUGUUUAUGAUUACAAGUGAAAUAAGGCAUUUUUUUAUCAACAUAAAGGCAACCUUGGCUUAUACAACCUCUUCUCGAUCAUGAAUACUGACAUCUUUACUGCACUCACUAUCAAUAAUAAAUAUAUUUUCCGAAGAAGACUGGCA